rfam:Sus scrofa chromosome X.
UCCCUGGUGGCCUAGCCGGUUAAGGAUCUGGCAUUGUAACUGCUGUGGUGCAGGUUCGAUUCCUGGCCUGGGAC